rnacentral:rRNA from 1 species
GAACGCUGGCGGCGUGCCUAACACAUGCAAGUCGAACGGAGAAUUUUAUUUCGGUAGAAUUCUUAGUGGCGAACGGGUGAGUAACGCGUAGGCAACCUACCCUUUAGACGGGGACAACAUUCCGAAAGGAGUGCUAAUACCGGAUGUGAUCAUCGUGCCGCAUGGCAGGAUGAAGAAAGAUGGCCUCUACAAGUAAGCUAUCGCUAAAGGAUGGGCCUGCGUCUGAUUAGCUAGUUGGUAGUGUAACGGACUACCAAGGCGAUGAUCAGUAGCCGGUCUGAGAGGAUGAACGGCCACAUUGGGACUGAGACACGGCCCAAACUCCUACGGGAGGCAGCAGUGGGGAAUCUUCCGCAAUGGACGAAAGUCUGACGGAGCAACGCCGCGUGAGUGAUGAAGGAUUUCGGUCUGUAAAGCUCUGUUGUUUAUGACGAACGUGCAGUGUGUGAACAAUGCAUUGCAAUGACGGUAGUAAACGAGGAAGCCACGGCUAACUACGUGCCAGCAGCCGCGGUAAUACGUAGGUGGCGAGCGUUGUCCGGAAUUAUUGGGCGUAAAGAGCAUGUAGGCGGCUUAAUAAGUCGAGCGUGAAAAUGCGGGGCUCAACCCCGUAUGGCGCUGGAAACUGUUAGGCUUGAGUGCAGGAGAGGAAAGGGGAAUUCCCAGUGUAGCGGUGAAAUGCGUAGAUAUUGGGAGGAACACCAGUGGCGAAGGCGCCUUUCUGGACUGUGUCUGACGCUGAGAUGCGAAAGCCAGGGUAGCGAACGGGAUUAGAUACCCCGGUAGUCCUGGCCGUAAACGAUGGGUACUAGGUGUAGGAGGUAUCGACCCCUUCUGUGCCGGAGUU